GACGGAGGGUGCAAGCGUUGUUCGGAUUGACUGGGCGUAAAGGGCGUGUAGGCGGUUGGUCAAGUCUGAUGUGAAAGCCCGGGGCUCAGCCCCGGAAGGGCAUCGGAAACUAGCCAGCUGGAGCGCGAUAGAGGAGGGUGGAAUUCCUGGUGUAGCGGUGAAAUGCGCAGAUAUCGGGAAGAACACCCGUGGCGAAGGCGGCUCUCUGGGACGGUACUGACGCUGAGACGCGAAAGCGUGGGGAGCGAACAGG
rnacentral:rRNA from 1 species